rnacentral:rRNA from 1 species
GCUCAACCGGGGAGGGUCAUUGGAAACUGGGGAACUUGAGUGCAGAGGAGGAGAGUGGAAUUCCACGUGUAGCGGUGGAAUGCGUAGAGAUGUGGAGGAACACCAGUGGCGAAGGCGACUCUCUGGUCUGUAACUGACGCUGAGGCGCGAAAGCGUGGGGAGCGAACAGGAUUAGAUACCCUGGUAGUCCACGCCGUAAACGAUGAGUGCUAAGUGUUAGAGGGUUUCCGCCCUUUAGUGCUGCAGCAAACGCAUUAAGCACUCCGCCUGGGGAGUACGGUCGCAAGACUGAAACUCAAAGGAAUUGACGGGGGCCCGCACAAGCGGUGGAGCAUGUGGUUUAAUUCGAAGCAACGCGAAGAACCUUACCAGGUCUUGACAUCCUCUGACAACCCUAGAGAUAGGGCUUCCCCUUCGGGGGCAGAGUGACAGGUGGCGCAUGGUUGUCGUCAGCUCGUGUCGUGAGAUGUUGGGUUAAGUCCCGCAACGAGCGCAACCCUUGAUCUUAGUUGCCAGCAUUCAGUUGGGCACUCUAAGGUGGCUGCCGGUGACAAACCGGAGGAAGGUGGGGAUGACGUCAAAUCAUCAUGCCCCUUAUGACCUGGGCUACACACGUGCUACAAUGGGCAGAACAAAG